UGCCAUACAAGCUCUGAGACAUGGACUAGUGACAUCUGCUUUAUAGAAAUAUUAACCUAAGAUCUAUUAAAGAGUUAAACAUGCCAUCUGAUUUUACUCAGGCCUCUGCUCCAUCAGCCCUCAGGUGGCAGCCACUCAGGCUGUGGGAACCUGGCCAUCACUGCUUCCUUCAGUGGGUGAGGUUGGUGGCCUACAUUUUCUUCUAGGUUUUUUGCUUUUAGGUCUUACGUUUAACUCUUUUAUCCUUCUUAAGUUAAUUUUUGUAUAAAGUGUAAGGAAGGGGCCCAGUUUCAGUUUGCUGCAUAUGGCUAGCCAGUUUUCCUAACACCAUUUAUUAAACAGGCAAUCCUUUCCCCAGUGCUUACCUUUGUCAGUUUUGUCAAAGAUCUGGUGGUUUUACAUGUGUGGUGUCAUUUCUGUGGCCUCUGUUCCAUUCCAUUGGUCUAUAUACCUGGUUUGGUACCAGUACCAUGCUGUUUCCGUUACUGUGGCCUUGUAGAAUAGUUUGAAGUCAGGUACUGUGAUGCCUCCAGCUUUGAUCUUUUUGCUUAGGAUUGUCUUGGCUAUGUAGACUCUUUUUUGGUUCCAUAUGAAAUUUAAAGUAGUUUUUCUAAUUUUGUGAAGAAAGUCAAUGGUAGCUUGAUGGGGAUAGCACUGAAUCUAUAAAUCACUUUGGGUGGUAUGGCACUCAGGCACAGAAAUGUCCUUGUGUUAGGCAAUACCAUUCAGGACAUAGGCAUGGGCAGAGACUUCAUCACUACAACACCAAAAGCAAUGGCAACAAAAGCCAAAAUUGACAAAUGGGACCUAAUUAAGCUAAAGAGUGUCUGCAGAGCAAAAGAAACUAUCAUCAGAGUGAACAGGCAACCCACAGAAUGGGAGAAAAUUUUUGCAAUCUAUCCAUCUGACAAACAGCUAAUAUGCAGAAUCUACAAAGAACUUAAACAAAUUUACAAGAAAAAAAACAACCCCAUCAAAAAAUGGGCAAAACAUAUGAACAGACACUUCCCAAAUAAGACAUUUAUGCAGCUAAAGAACAUGUGAAGCAAACCACAUCAUCACUGGUCAUUAGAGAAAUGGAAAUCAAAACCACAAUGAGAUACAAUCUCACACCACUUAGAAUGGCCAACAUUAAAAGAUAAGGAAACAACAGAUGUUGGAGAGGACGUGGAGAAAUAGGAACGCUUUUACACUCUUGGUGGUAGUAUAAAUUAGUUCAUCCAUUGUGGAAGACAGUGUGACAAUUCCUCAAGGAUCUACAACUAGAAAUACAUUUAACCCAGCAAUCCCAUUACUGGGUAUAUACUGAAAAAAUAAUAAAUCAUUCUAAUAUAAAGACACAUGCACACGUAUGUUUACUGCGGCACAGUUCACAACAGCAAACACUUGGAACCAACCCAAAUGCCCAUCAAUGAUAGACUGGAUAAUGUGGCAUAUAUACACUAUGGAAUGCUAUGCACCCAUAAAAAAGGAUGAGUUCAUGUCCUUUGCAGGGACAUCGAUGAAGCUGGAAAUCAUCACUCUCAGCAAACUAACACAAGAACAGAAAACCAAACACCUCAUGUUCUCACUCGUAGGUGGGAACUGAACAAUGAGAACACGUGGACACAGAAGGGUAACAUAACACACCGAGAACUGUUGUGGGGUGGGGGAGGAGGGAGGGAUAGCAUUAGGAGAUAUACCUAAUGUUAAAUGAUGAGUUAAUGGGUGCAGCACACCAACAUGGCACAUGUAUACAUAUGUAACAAACCUGCACAUUGUGCACAUGUACCCUAAAACUUAAAGUAUAAUAAUAAAAUUUAAAAAUUAAAAAAAAGUUUUAAAAAAUUUCCAACUGGAUUUUUUUGUUUUUUAUGUUUUUUUUUUGUUUUGUUUUUGUUUUUGUUUUGCAGCCACAGGAGUUUUAGCCAAUUCAGAUGCCUUGCUCCCCACAAUUUGGAACAUUCCUUUGGAUUUGACCAAGUCAGGAAGAGAUGGGAGAAAAGUGAAACAACAAUAAAACCCCAAACAUAAACAAAAAGAGUUAAGCAAAACAAACAAAUGCACAAUUCAUAUGAUUAACUGAGUGUUCUAAUGGUAAGGAGGAAUUAAAAGCAGCUGAUGGGUAAUCUUAAAUUUUAGUCAUUAAACAAAAAUUUUAAGACAAAACUCUAAUUCUGCUACUUACCUGGAAAUAAGGCUCAGACUGGGUGAUCAUUCUCUGCCAUCUUAGAAGCUGGAAAAACUUACACUCACCUUCCCUGUCAGAAGCAAGCUGAAACUCAGGAAAGGAGGUGCCUGCUCUCCUUUGUCAAUGGAAGCAGGAAAACUUGCCUUCCUUGUUGGAAAUGAGUAAAACUUCAAAAAAGGAGUUGUACAGCAAAAUCAACCUUACAUCUCAACCAAAUUUUCGGAGAUCAGGGACUCUGUGAAGGGGAGAAGCUCCACAACCUCAGCAAAUUAUCCUAUUGGUUUGGGCAAUACAAAUAGCCCAGGUUGGUAUCAAGCAAUAAUGAGAUUUAUCAAAGGUCAGGACCACCUUUGUAAUGUCCUUCUCUUUUUUUAUCUUUAUUGGUAGAGUCUGUUUUGUCAGAAACUGGGAGUGCAACACCUUUUUUCUGUUUUCCAUUUGCUUGAAAUAUUUUUCUCCAUUCCUUUAUUUUGAGCCUAUGUAUGGCACUGCACGUGAGAUGGGUUGCUUGAAGACGGCAUACUCCAGUGGGUCUUGGUUC
rnacentral:lncRNA from 10 species